AGGGAGUUCAGUCAUGGGUGGGGACAGCUCAGGCUCCAGUCCUGGAAGAUGAGGCUGUCUUCCCCAAGCAAAGUUCUUGGCAGCCAGGGCCUGGACAGACAAGGAGAUUCAGGGCCCCAGGACAAGUAGGGCCUGUCCUCACCUGUCUUCGAAUCCGUUCUGUCCUCCUUGGUACAGGGGACAGCACAGGCAAGGAGCCGGAGGCUCAGACGGACAGGGAGCUGGAGCCCCUCAGCGAGAGUCUUGCUAAGGCACCUAGGCUGGACUUGAACUCGUGAUCCUCCCGCCUCAGCCUCCAGAAGUGCUGGGAUCACCGGUGUCCGCCACCUCGCCCAGUGUGCAAGGGUGGCACUGACUCGAAUGCUCCCUGGCAGCACCUUGGGGCACUCAAAGGAGGCCUGCUGCCUUUCCACACCUUUCCUCCCCCCCUUCCUGCUUCCUGUCCUCUCUCUCCCUCUUAUCCACUCCCUCCCAGCUGUCCGCCAUGUAUUUGGAGUUAGUCCUUGUGACUUUAAAACAAAAGGCCAAAGUGGCCUUUAAUAAAACAGAUAUAACAUUAGUGCUAAAACAGAGGAGAGAGAAGCAGGCAGAUGUCUGGCGAGGGCACUGAAGGAGUGGCAGUGACGUCCCGCUGAAGGAUGGUGUGAGCACUCAUGACCAACCUUUCCAGGAGUCUCUGGAGGCCCCUCGGCCCCAGGAGGGCCCUGUUGGUGGCACCCAAGUGCAACUCUGAGGCUGGGAUGGGGAACAGUCCAGGGGACUUCCGAAUCAUCCUGUCCACCUUCCACUUCCAGAUGGGGAAACUGAGGCCCAUGGUCAGGGCAUGUAGGAGCGAGUAAAUGGCAAAGCUGUGAACUGUUGGGACCACCAGAGGUUCUGGUUGUGCCUGCGUCCGUGGGGCUCAUGAAGCCAGUGUCAUCCACAAAGAAUGCAUUCUUUCCUGGGUACUGUUCUGUUGCCGUGCAGCAUGCUUUGGUGAGAACUAAUAUGUUAGCAACUGAGCUGGGUGUGGUGGAGCACACCUAUAAUCCCAGCAUUCAAGAGGCUGAGGCAGGAGAAUGGACAUGGAGGCCAGCCUGGGCUACAUACACAGUGAGACUCUGUCUCAAAAAACAAAACAAAACUUGAAAUGUCAGUGUCUAGAGACAUGGGGUCAUGUCGCCCACAGAGUGACAGGCUGCCAUUGCUGGUGACAACCUGCCAGUCUAGCCACUCUCUUCUGGGACUGACAUGUAGGGCACUGUCCCCUCCUGCUGUCCCUGUGCCCAGUGGGACUCAG
rnacentral:lncRNA from 1 species